rnacentral:lncRNA from 1 species
AGUUCCAAACACAUUGACUAAAAGGAGCUAAAAUAGUUUAGUUCCAUUAGUCAUCCAAGAGUAGCUAAAAUAAUUUUAGCCAGCUAAAAUUUAGCAAGAGAACCAAACAGGCCCGUAGUCCUGUUACGAAGAGCGUGCAUGCACACGCAGCCUUUAAAUAAGACACACCCAACAACACAGCGAGAAUGCAAACGACGGUUGGAAAAGGAGAUCGAAACGAGAUGAAAUCGACGACACGCAUGCAUGGAUCCUACCGGACAACACGAUCGGCGAGGCGUGGCGGCAGUCCACGGAGCAUUUCGACCUGAUAGACAGUAAAAUUUAACAAGCCCAACCAAAUAUGACCUGAUUUUGCUGUAAAAUGUAUCCUGGUACCAGUAGCAGCGGCGACGUAUUUACAACCAAACUGAACAAUUAGUUUUCCUUUUGUCUGAAUGUAAUGCUUGGUGUAUGUGUCUGAAAAUUUGAUGAAAUUGGUGAGAAGGUUUUGGAUGGGGAAUUAAAUAUAUCCACGUGCAAGCUUAUAGCUUCAUGGUCUUGGUCGUGACAGCAGGCAGCCAACCGAAACCAAACCAUUAUAAUUGCAGGAUAACAAAAAGAAAAAAAAAACACUAACGUGAUCCCGAUCUCUGCACUGCCACAUGAAUUCAAUGCCAAAUGCCCAAAUGAAAUGGGCCGUGAUUAUGGAGCGUGCUCCGUGGUCCUACACAGGUCACUCCGUAUCCCAGAUUCCCAGUAGUAGGCAACGAUAACGAUGAGCCAAUGCAAUGCAAUGCAAGGGCAGUUGCAGACCUGCAAACUUUACGUGACCGUGACCCCGGCGGCUGGCACCAAUAAAGGCUAGGCUUUGUUUAAUUUCCAUCUAAAAAAUCUUUUACCUCGUGUUUGGAUAUAUAUAUAUAUAUAUAUAUAUAUAUAACGUUAAAUAUAGAUAAAAAUAAUUAACCAUAUAAUUUUAAUAUAUUUUACAAGAUGAAAUUUUUAAUUUAAAUAGUCUAUAAUUCAAUACUAAUUAUAUAAUUAUACAUGUAUUAGCUAGAAAUUUUUCUUUUCGCGAACUAGG